GAGAGGGUAAAAACCUUGAUUUCAUCUGCACAGCGAGAAGCACUGGCCAGAGCCAAAACUCUUGAAAUGUUUAUGUACAGAGCUCAAGAGUCAUGAGGUUCUUGGACAAUUAAUGUAAUCCGCUGUUUACCACUGUCUGAUCGGAAGUUAUCUCCUUUAAACCCAAUCUCUACAGAACUGUCAGGUGGGAACCACCGUAACAGAAUACCAAGAUUUGCCACCGCAGGAAUUAGCUUGAAAAGCAGGGGAGUCAUUAUCUGCAAGAGUUUUAUUCAAAUAAACACCUGAGAGAAGUAACUUAAAUUUUUUUCCUGAAAAUAUAAUCAUCAAUGCUUUUAGUUUUCUCAGUAGUUGUAUCACCAAGGUUGACACAAAUAAAUCAGACCAAUAUUGAUUUGUUGAAUAUUCCACUUGAUUACCAGCCAUACUUACAAAUUAAAAUAAUAAUUUUAAGAAGGAAAGGUAAUUUUUCACUCUUAUGAAAACAGGCAUGGAUACAUACAUUUGUUUUGAGUGGUAGAUAUGUACAUCUUUAGAAGCACAAAAUGUACACAAAUUUUAAAUGGUAUAAUGAUUCCCAUAUCCAGAACUCCACAGCCAUUUUCAAUUUUAUUCAAUGUUCUAACUUUAUCAAUUUAGUCUGUGAACUUUGAAUUAGUGACAAUUGAGUCCCACCAAACAAGAGUUGAGGAGGUGCAUAAUUGACGAUUUAACACUGACAUGGCAUAUGCUCAGUUGGAGGUUGAGGCUAAGUGGGAAAGUCUUCUAACCAAUAGACUCCACCUAAUGUCCUUGAGAGGACCAAAAACAUUGUUGAUUAAAUGAUUUUCUAACAGAGUUUCACCAGCUGUUUUUAGGGCACCAUUGGACCCACUAAUAAGAAUAGUUCUCUAUUCAAUCUCAACCCUAGCUAGCCAUGCAUUAUUAAUGUCACACCUUCAAUUACACACACCACUUCCUCAGUGGAUAUAUAGAAUUGAAUAUGGCUGCAAAUUUUAGGAUAUUAAGAUCAUCAGCCCUUCUACACUGUCACAUUAAUUGUAAGAAGCACAGUCAACUUGCAGUAAAUGCACAUUAUUCCACUAGUCCACAAGUUACCUUUCAUUUCACAUAUUUUUCACUUCAUUUUCAGGAGAGUUUAGAAAUUGUAACUUCAUAAAGAAGUAAGAUGGAAAAUUCACAAUCUUCUGAGGAGAGGAAAUAAAAAGAGGUACCAGAUACUUGAUAUAGAUUUCCACCAUGGACAAUCAUCAUAGUGCAAUAAGGUGCAUGAGAAAUGCAAUGUAAAAAAGGAGCUUAAAAUCCGUUAGAUGUCACAUCAAUGAGGGAUUCAAUCAUAUUGUUUCCAUACCAGGCUAAGAGCUGUUGUCCCAAGAAGAAGUAGGUAAAGCUUCCCCUGAAAAUGUUCAAAGCAUUAGCUCUACAGCAGCACAAAAUUGCCUCUCCCCUAUAAUGUUAGGGGUGAAAAGAUUUUCUUCAGGAAGCAAAUGCCACAGACUAUUAGUGAUUAACAGAUAAUGUACACAAAAAAAAAAAUGCAAAAAACUUGCUUGGUAUGCUAAGGGGCUAAUGUUUUCUAUUUUUGGUUUCUGUUGUUGAAUUUUGCAAUUUUAUUUUUUGGAAAACAAGUCAAAGAAAGUGGAAAAACCACUUUUAUGAUUUUUCUGUGCUGUAACAACCUGUUUUCUAUUUUAGAAUGCCACAAAAGCCAAAUUUAAUCUAUAUAAAUUUCUGACGAUUGGAAAACAGAAUGGAUAUCAAAAAGGCCCUAAACUUCUCAUUUCUCAUAGCAAGAGCAUUGUCACAAUAGACUUCAACAGUAGAACUAACCUCAACUAGAUGAAGAUUAGAAGCACAGCUGAGAAAAACAAAAGCAAACUCCCCUAUUUGUGCCAGAGACAUUCCAACCUAUAAAUGCAUGCCCCCUCAACCAGUGAAUCCAAAGGGGGGGUGGUGGUGGGGGGUUGGGGAGAGAAAGAGCAUUACAGCAAGCCAUCAAACAAAAUCUUACAAGCAUUGCAGUCUUGUUGCUAUAACCAAAUCCUUUCACAACGGUAGUGAUUAUGGUUGUCUUUAUGAUUAUGACUACUAUAACAGAUGCCAGCAAUAUAUCAACAUGGUUCCAGAGAAAAUGAACAUGGAUCAGCAUCCCAAUGCUGGCAAGGAAUAAAGCAGCAAAAAAAUUCCGAAUGGGUUCUAUUUGUUCUAGUGUAUGAUGAGCAAGAUCAGUUGUUGAUAUC
rnacentral:misc_RNA from 1 species